rnacentral:rRNA from 1 species
GUAGGGAAUAUUGGACAAUGGGGGCAACCCUGAUCCAGCCAUGCCGCGUGAGUGAAGAAGGCCCUCGGGUUGUAAAGCUCUUUUGUCCGGAAAGAAAAGCAUUCGGUGAAUACCCGGAUGUUCUGACGGUACCGGAAGAAUAAGCACCGGCUAACUUCGUGCCAGCAGCCGCGGUAAUACGAAGGGUGCAAGCGUUACUCGGAAUUACUGGGCGUAAAGCGUGCGUAGGUGGUUGCUUAAGUCUGAUGUGAAAGCCCUGGGCUCAACCUGGGAAUGGCAUUGGAAACUGGGCAGCUAGAGUGCGGUAGAGGGUAGUGGAAUUCCCGGUGUAGCAGUGAAAUGCGUAGAGAUCGGGAGGAACAUCUGUGGCGAAGGCGACUGCCUGGACCAGCACUGACACUGAGGCACGAAAGCGUGGGGAGCAAACA